rnacentral:rRNA from 1 species
GACGAACGCUGGCGGCGUGCUUAACACAUGCAAGUCGAACGGAGAGGCCCUGCUUGCAGGGUACUCGAGUGGCGAACGGGUGAGUAACACGUGGGUGAUCUGCCCUGCACUUCGGGAUAAGCCUGGGAAACUGGGUCUAAUACCGGAUAGAGCCAUUUUUAGGGGGAUGGUUGGAAAGUUUUUUCGGUGUAGGAUGAGCUCGCGGCCUAUCAGCUUGUUGGUGGGGUAAUGGCCUACCAAGGCGGCGACGGGUAGCCGGCCUGAGAGGGUGGACGGCCACAUUGGGACUGAGAUACGGCCCAGACUCCUACGGGAGGCAGCAGUGGGGAAUAUUGCACAAUGGGCGCAAGCCUGAUGCAGCGACGCCGCGUGGGGGAUGACGGCCUUCGGGUUGUAAACUCCUUUCGCUAGGGACGAAGCUUUUUGUGACGGUACCUAGAUAAGAAGCACCGGCUAACUACGUG